rnacentral:rRNA from 1 species
UACAGAGGGGGCAAGCGUUGUUCGGAAUUACUGGGCGUAAAGGGCGCGUAGGCGGCCUUCUAAGUCGAACGUGAAAUCCCCGGGCUCAACCCGGGAACUGCGUCCGAUACUGGAAGGCUUGAAUCCGGGAGAGGGAUGUGGAAUUCCAGGUGUAGCGGUGAAAUGCGUAGAUAUCUGGAGGAACACCGGUGGCGAAGGCGGUCUUCUGGACGGUGACUGACGCUGAGGCGCGAAAGCCAGGGGAGCGAACGGG